CGGGACCGAAGAGGUGACAGCCUCGGCGGGGCGGCGCUAGGCGGCAGUGACCGCCAGAGUCCCGGGUGCGUGUGCACGUGUGUGUGCGCACGUGUGCGCGCGCUCCGCCCGGUCCCGGGCAGCCACCUGUCACUCACGGGGGCAAAGGGGCCGCGGCGGAGAGGACGCAGAGGGGGCGGGGCGGCGGCCGGAGAGGGGCGGCGCCGAGGCCGGUCCCGCGGAGGCCCUCCCGGCGGAACCCCGCGUGCUGCAGCCAUGGAGACGCGGUAAUCCCCUCCUCCGGCCCGCGCCCCGGCCCCCGCAGCCGUCGCCGAUUGGUCGCCCUUUGCUCCCUGACCCUCUCGCCGCCUCCGAGGCCACCGCUUCCUGCUCGGUUGCCGCGCCGCGCUCCCGGCCCGGGGCGGAGCUCGGGCGCCGGGCGCGCGCCGCUUUCGCCGCGGCCGAGCAGCAGCCGGCGCCGGAGGAGGAGCCGCCGCCGCGCCCUUCCCCUUCCUCCGCUCCUCCCCCGGCCCUCUCCCCGCCCGCGCCGGCCCCAGGCAGCACUUGCGAGCAGCGGCGGCCGCGGCCGGCGGCCGAAAGGGGAGAAUGCGGCGGCGCUCGCGGAUGCUGCUCUGCUUCGCCUUCCUGUGGGUGCUGGGCAUCGCCUACUACAUGUACUCGGGGGGCGGCUCCGCGCUGGCCGCGGGCGCGGGCGGCAGCGCCGGCAGGAAGGAGGACUGGAAUGAAAUUGACCCAGUUAAAAAAGAAAGACCUUCAUCAUAGCAACGGGGAUGAGAAAGCACAAAGCGUGGAGACCCUCCCUCCAGGUACCGCGGCAGCCCCUGGGGACCCGUCGGCCUUGGGCUGGUGGCUGGUGGCUAGUGGCUGGGAAGUCCUCUUGCUCAGAAACUGCGAAUGAGCUGAAUGUGCCCUUUGGCACCUAUGGAGCCUGCGGGAUAGAAAAUGGAUUUCAUAGGGCUGCUUGAGACACUGCCCUAUAGCAAUGUUUUGGGGACUUCCUUCAAGCCCAUUAGUGGGUGGUGAAAUAAGUUUACUAGGAGAUGACCAAAAUUUGUUGAAAGAAAAAAAAUAGACUAAAAUAGAAAAUAUAGGAUAGUAUAUUGGUUCACAAAUAUUUUAAAAGACUCUUUUUUAGAGCAGUUUCACGUUCACAGCGAACUUGUGUGUAAAGGACAGAGCUUCCCAUCUACCUCCUGCCCCUGCACAUGUGCACCUCCCGCACUGUCAGCAUAUCCCACCAGAGUGGUCCAUUCCUACAGUCAGGGUACCAACAUUGACACGUCACAGUCACCCAGAGUCCAUAGUUCAUUCACAGUAGGAUUCACUCUUGGUGGUGUACAUUCGGUGGGUUUUAACAAAAGUAUAGAGACAUGAAUCCACCAUUACAGUAUCCUACAGGAGAGUUUCACUGCCCUAAACAGCCUCUGUGUUCCGACUUUUCAUCCCUCCCUCCCCCUAAUCCCUGACAACCACGGAUCCUUUUCCUGUCUCCAUAGUUUUGCCUUUUCCAGAGUGUCCUAUAGUUAGCAUCAUACAGUAUGUUGCCUUUUCAAACUGGCUCGUCUCACUUAAUAAUGUGUAGUGAAGUUUCCUCCACGUCUUUGCAUGGCUUGUUGGUGUAUUUGUUCUUAUCACUGAGUACUAUUCUGCUGUCUGAAUGGACCACGGUUUAUCCAUCACCUACUAAAGGACAUCCUGGUUGCUUCUAAGCUUUGGCAGUUGUGAAAAGAACUGCUGUAAAGAGCUGCGUGAAGGGUUUUGUGUAGAUGUACGUUUUCAGUUCAUUUGGGUGAAUACCGAGGAGGAAGACCGCUGGAUCACGUAGUAAGACUGUGUGUAGUGUUGUGAGAAACUACCAAACUGUCUUCCAAAGCAGCUGUACCAUUUUGCAUUCCCACCAGCAGUGAAGGAGAGUUCCGGCUGCUCCACGUCUUCAGCAGCAUUUGGUGUUGUCAGUGUUUUUCAUUUGGGCUGUCGUAACAGGUGGGAAGUAGAAUCUCAUUGUUUAAAUUUGCAUUUCUCUAAUGAUACAUGAUACUGAGUUUCUUUUGAUGUAUUCAUUUACCCUCUGUUUAUCUCCUUUGGAGAGUUAUCUAUUCUGGUCUUUCACCCAUUUUUUUAAGUGGAU
ensembl:lncRNA